AUAUUUCUUCUAACAUCAUUAAUAAAACUAUAUUUAUUUUAAUUAAAAAUAAAAUAAAAUUUUAAAAUUACUUUUUUGUUCUCUAUCACGAUCGCCUUAUAAAUGUUUCUUUUUGCACACCUAUCCAUUAAAAAUAUUUUAAUUAUUUUAAUUUGAAACCAUUAAUUUUUUAACGGCGUUAGAUGGUAGAUGAUAUGGAUACAUAUGCAAAAAUAAGGAUAAAAAAAGAAUAAAAUAGUAAAAUAAGUAUUUUACGAGGGCAUACAUAUAAAUAUCAAUUUUUAAAGGGCAUUCAUGCAAAAUUCGAUAUUAGGAAAGUAUUUAUGCAAAAAAAUCUAAAAAAAUAUAUACCA
rnacentral:lncRNA from 1 species